UGGAAAAAUAAUGAGCACUGUUUGCACAUGAGUCAUGGGUCAUGAUCACACGUCUGGGUGUCUGAGUUCAGU